rnacentral:pre_miRNA from 1 species
GGAUAUCAUCAUAUACUGUAAGUUUGCAAUGAGACACUACAGUAUAGAUGAUGUACUG